AGAGUUUGAUCCUGGCUCAGGAUGAACGCUAGCGACAGGCCUAACACAUGCAAGUCGAGGGGCAGCGGGGAGGUAGCAAUACCUUUGCCGGCGACCGGCGCACGGGUGAGUAACACGUAUGCAAUCCACCUGUAACAGGGGGAUAACCCGGAGAAAUCCGGACUAAUACCCCAUAAUAUGGGCGCUCCGCAUGGAGAGUCCAUUAAAGAGAGCAAUCUUGGUUACAGACGAGCAUGCGCUCCAUUAGCCAGUUGGCGGGGUAACGGCCCACCAAGGCGACGAUGGAUAGGGGUUCUGAGAGGAAGGUCCCCCACAUUGGAACUGAGACACGGUCCAAACUCCUACGGGAGGCAGCAGUGAGGAAUAUUGGUCAAUGGUCGGCAGACUGAACCAGCCAAGUCGCGUGAGGGAAGACGGCCCUACGGGUUGUAAACCUCUUUUGUCGGAGAGUAAAGUACGCUACGCGUAGCGUAUUGCAAGUAUCCGAAGAAAAAGCAUCGGCUAACUCCGUGCCAGCAGCCGCGGUAAUACGGAGGAUGCGAGCGUUAUCCGGAUUUAUUGGGUUUAAAGGGUGCGUAGGCGGCACGCCAAGUCAGCGGUGAAAUUUCCGGGCUCAACCCGGAAUGUGCCGUUGAAACUGGCGAGCUAGAGUGCACAAGAGGCAGGCGGAAUGCGUGGUGUAGCGGUGAAAUGCAUAGAUAUCACGCAGAACCCCGAUUGCGAAGGCAGCCUGCUAGGGUGCGACAGACGCUGAGGCACGAAAGCGUGGGUAUCGAACAGGAUUAGAUACCCUGGUAGUCCACGCAGUAAACGAUGAAUACUAACUGUUUGCGAUACAAUGUAAGCGGUACAGCGAAAGCGUUAAGUAUUCCACCUGGGGAGUACGCCGGCAACGGUGAAACU
rnacentral:rRNA from 1 species